GCACUAUCAAUCCUGAAGCUGCCUAUUUAACAUGGGGGAGCAGCUGGAAGCAUCGGACACGACCUGGGCUCCUGAAGGCUGAAGUCACCGGUGACUCACCAUCGAUGGUCUCAUGGUAGCCCUUGGUGAGGAACUGGAUGGCUUUAGCUGCGCGCAACGGGGUGCGCAACAGCCCCUCCCGGUCGGUGUCCUCCCCAAGACGCCUGAGGAUGUCGGUGUAGGCGGCCUCCAGCGCCGGUAACCGGGACGCGUCCUCCAACUCUUUGCGGGAUGUCUCGUGGUGGUUGUUGACGGUUGACAUCUUGUUGUCUGUGUGGAACUCCUCCACGAUGUCGCCGACUUUUGUACUCAUGGUUAAGGCGCGCUUGGACUGAAGUUCAGGAUGAAGUUCAGUUGCCCUGCGGGUCUGGCUGGCCUAUUCGGUAGUUAUCGUGUUUAUGGAGCCUGCCUGGGAUGCGCAUCAGGCUCCUAUUGGUCGGAGUCGUGCGUACGUCAAAAAAGGAAGCAUCGUCAGAGGGGUUAAACACUGACCAACCCCGCCCACCUGCUAAGAAGAAAGAGAAAAAAAAGAAGAAGAAAGAAACCGACGCUAGAUAUCUAACGUCACUUGAGACCUUUUUAAUCUCCUUUUUAAAUCAUCUGAGUUGAUUUGUUCCAGUUAUGUUGCUCUGAUACAAAAAAAGCUUAGUAAGCUCGUGAGGCUCAUGACUUCACAUGCUCUUUUUUUUAAGUUUAUGGAAAUCAAAUUGUUGUGUAAUCACGUGAACUGUCCUGAUAAGCAACAAUCAAAAGCACAAUGUUUUUUUCUGCUGGGAAUACACAGCCCAAAAUGUCAGAGGGCUUCAAAGGUACAUAUCUCCAUUAAAGAUACUUACAACCAGUCUGUUUAACUCUAUGUCUUAAUUAUGGAAAUGUGCAUGGUUUGACAUUUAUUUUGUAAUAUUAUUUUCAUGAAUAAAAUGAUUUAAUACAAA